rnacentral:lncRNA from 1 species
UACGAUACUAAUAUAGAAGAACAGAGGAAAGUAAAACGAUCUCAUCGACUACCAGCUCGAAGCACCCACCUGUCACUAUCGCGUCGGAAAUCUGGGUGCGCAACCAGUCAACCGGACCUACGAAGAUCCACCGGGUCAGUAUCCAACCCACCAAUCCAAAAUACCCAACUCACGAACCCCUCACAAAUUUUCGAAAUCAGUUUUCCCAAAACUGAUCACUGUAACUUGCCGGAAGUCCCGAAAAUUUCACCGGGACGCUGUCGG